GAUGAAGAACGCAGCGAAAUGCGAUAAGUAAUGCGAAUUGCAGAAUUUCCGUGAGUCAUCGAAUCUUUGAACGCACAUUGCGCCCACUGGUAUUCCGGCGGGCAUGCCUGUUCGAGCGUCAUUAUCCUCCCUCAAACCUCUGUGUUUGGUGUUGGGCCGCGUUGGUGUCAAAGCCAACUGGUCUCAAAGACAAUGACGGCGUCCGUGGGACCCUCUUCGCAACGAGCAUCUUCGGAAGCACGCGUCGAGUCUAAAGGACCUUCCGGGCCGGUCUACCCUUUAUCUUUCUAAGGUUGACCUCGGAUCAGGUAGGAAUACCCGCUGAACUUAAGCAUAUCAAUAAGCGGAGGA
rnacentral:misc_RNA from 1 species